AAGUAUUCUAAAAAAUAAGUAAUAAUCGUUUCCCAAACCUGGGAACCCCAGGCUGAUAUCUGAGAGCUGUGGGCUGUUGCAUGACUGUGCUAGAUUUUAGUCUGAGUUGAUCUUUUUAAGAAACAGGAAAAAAAAAAAAAAGCAUAAAAAAACUGCAAGUGUUGAAUCCUAGAGGUUUGUUUAGACCUUUUAUCUAUUUUAUUUUAUUUUUAAUUUGAAAUUAAUUUGUCACUUUCUUGUCCAGAAGAAAGAAAGAAAGAAAAAGAAAAGACUUCAGUGGUUGACAUUUCCAGUAUGGUACUCGGAGAGCCUUAAAGGACAGCUGUGUGCCAGGAGCCUCACUGGGACAGAACCCUCGUGGGGGUCCCCAAAUGGCACAGCUCAUGGGGCCAGCAUGGUGGGAGCUCCAGCAGUGCCACAGUUGGGUUUGGUGCAGGUGUGGUGUGAGGUCAGCCUGAGGUUCUGGCACCCCUGUGCAGCCCCUGCGAUCCUGAGGUCCCACUGCAGCGGUAAGAGUGUCUGAGGAAUCUUUGGUGGCUGUUGGUGGAGCUGAGCACGGGGUAUUUUGGUGAUGGUUUGGAGAUGGUGGGACUCUCUCUGUUGCUGGUUGGAGAGGAUGGAGGUUUUUGUCUGAGCCUUCUCAAAUUUUCUGGAAGCACUGGUGAGAGCAGAGGCUCACCGGGCUGCUGUAGUGCUGCAGCACAUCCUUGGCUAUGCUGGGUAGCCAUGUUGGAUGGCUCUCAUGGCCCUGGGGUAGUCCACAGGGAGGUCUCUGGAGGGCUGUGCUAGGCAGGGUAGUAGUGUCACAACGUUGCUGGGCUCUCAGGGCUCCUCUUGGCUUCCUCUGCCUCCACUGCCAGGCUCUUCUCACCCCGUCCUGUGUCCCCCAUCCCAUGCAAUGAGGAGAGUCCGCAGUGCGGUUCUGGGGAUGGGCUGAUGUCUUCCUCCUGAGGGGGCUUUGGGGCUUUUGGAGCUUUUGGGCUCCACCCAAGGACCCCUUCUGGGGUCCCCUCGCUGCUGGUCCCGGGUGCCUCCAUGGCAGAUGGUUGCAGCUGGGGGACGUGUUGCAGUGCAGCCUGCAGCCCCUGCUGCUCCUUGGUGCUACCUUUGCCUUUCGCCUGAUGCCCAGUGUCCUUAAUCCUGCAGGCAGCCUGUUACCCCUGCCUGGGGGAGAGGCUAGGAGGCAUCACAGGAUGUCCCAUAUCAGUGACACUACACGUGCCCCCAUCUUGCGUUUUGGGGAUGGAGCAUGGAGGAGGCCAAACCCCACCAGCUGCCGGCAGGCCCCUGCCUGCCCCUGCUGCUCACAUUGCCUUUUCAGUGGGAGGUUCCCAAAAACACAGCCUGGCCUGGAAGUGUCCCCAGGCCCCUCGUCCCCAUCCUGUGCAUCAGGGUGGGGAGCAGGGGGUGACCCCCAGGCUCACCCUGCCCCAAAGCGCACAAUGAGCUGUCCUUUAAGAAAGCAGGGGUGGGAACUAAUGCAAAGCUGGUGAAAGGCAGAGAGUUUUAAUAGUUUUAAAAAAUUAAACGGGGAGGAAAAAAGAAAAAUGAGAAUCCGGAGUCCUUGAUUAACUUUCUGUGAUGAUUGUUUCAGACUUGAAGCAACAGGCCGGCGUGGCUGGCCGCACACCCUUUGAUCGUGUAAAUAUCCUGCUAUUUCCUAUUUUAAUGUUCUUCAGAUUUAGUACUUGUAAAUAAACACACGCAUCAAGGAGAGAUUAAACAUUUUUGC
ensembl:lncRNA